rnacentral:rRNA from 1 species
GGCUAGCUCAGUGGUGUCAGCCGGGGGAAGACGGGGGUGGCAGGGUUGGUUCGGAUUUGGGUGUGGUAAAGGUGGCGUAGGCGGUGCUGGAGGUCCGGAGUGAAGUCUCUGGGGUCAACUCAGAGUUGGCUGGGGAAACUGCCGUGCUUGAGGGGUGGAGAGGUGAGGGGAAUUCCCGGUGUAGCGGUGAAAUGCGGAGAUAUCGGGAGGAACACCUGUGGCGAAAGCGGCUCACUGGACCACAACUGACGCUGAUGCGCGAAAGCUAGGGGAGCAAACAGGAUUAGAUACCCUUUAGUC